rnacentral:rRNA from 1 species
CCUACGGGCGGCAGCAGUAGGGAAUCUUUCACAAUGGGCGAAAGCCUGAUGGAGCAACGCCGCGUGCAGGAUGAAGGCCCUCGGGUUUUAAACUGCUUUUAUAAGCGAGAAAUAUGAUGGUAACUUAUGAAUAAGGAUCGGCUAACUACGUGCCAGCAGCCGCGGUCAUACGUAGGAUCCGAGUAUUAUCCGGAGUGUCUGGGUGUAAAGAGUUGCGUAGGUGGCAUAAUAAGUAGCUAGUGAAAUCUGGUGGCUCAACCAUUCAGACUAUUAGCUAAACUGUUAAGCUCGAGACCGUUAGAGGUAACUGGAAUAUGUAGUGUAGGAGUGAAAUGCGUAGAUAUUAGAAGGAACACCAAUAGCGUAGGCAGGUUACUGGGACGGUUCUGACGCUAAGGCACGAAAGCGUAGGGAGCAAACGGGAUUAGAUACCCGUGUAGUC